UACGAAGGGGGGCUAGCGUUGUUCGGAAUUACUGGGCGUAAAGCGCGCGCAGGCGGUCUUCCAAGUCAGUGGUGAAAGCCCGGAGCUCAACUCCGGAACUGCCAUUGAAACUGUUAGACUUGAGGACGAGAGAGGUGAGUGGAAUUCCCAGUGUAGAGGUGAAAUUCGUAGAUAUUGGGAAGAACACCAGUGGCGAAGGCGGCUCACUGGCUCGUAUCUGACGCUCAGGCGCGAUAGCGUGGGGAUCAAACAGG
rnacentral:rRNA from 1 species